rnacentral:rRNA from 1 species
AUAGAUCCUGAAACCGCAUGCUUACAAAAAGUAGGAGCCUCGAAAGGGGUGACUGCGUACCUUUUGUAUAAUGGGUCAGCGACUUACAUUCAGUGGCAAGGUUAACCGAAUAGGGAAGCCGUAGAGAAAUCGAGUCCGAAUAGGGCGAUCAGUCGCUGGGUGUAGACCCGAAACCAAGUGAUCUAUCCAUGGGCAGGAUGAAGGUGCCGUAACAGGUACUGGAGGUCCGAACCGACUAAUGUUGCAAAAUUAGCGGAUGACCUGUGGAUAGGGGUGAAAGGCUAAACAAACUUGGAAAUAGCUGGUUCUCUCCGAAAACUAUUUAGGUAGUGCCUCAAGUAUUACCAUCGGGGGUAGAGCACUGUUUUGGCUAGGGGGGUCAUGGCGACUUACCAAACCAAGGCAAACUCCGAAUACCGAUGAGUACAGCUUGGGAGACAGAGCACCGGGUGCUAACGUCCGGACUCAAGAGGGAAACAACCCAGACCGCCAGCUAAGGUCCCUAAAAUUGGCUAAGUGGGAAACGAAGUGGGAAGGCUAAAACAGUCAGGAUGUUGGCUUAGAAGCAGCCAUCAUUUAAAGAAAGCGUAAUAGCUCACUGAUCGAGUCGUCCUGCGCGGAAGAUGUAACGGGGCUAAGCCAGUUACCGAAGCUGCGGAUUUGCAAUUUAUUGCAAGUGGUAGGAGAGCGUUCUGUAGGCCUGUGAAGGUGGUGGUGUAAACCCUGCUGGAGGUAUCAGAAGUGCGAAUGCUGACAUGAGUAGCGUUAAAGGGGGUGAAAAGCCCCCUCGCCGUAAGCGCAAGGUUUUCUACGCAACGUUCAUCGGCGUAGAGUGAGUCGGCCCCUAAGGCGAGGCAGAGAUGCGUAGCUGAUGGGAAACAGGUCAAUAUUCCUGUACCGAUGACAAGUGCGAUGUGGGGACGGAGAAGGUUAGCUCAGCCAACUGUUGGAUAUGUUGGUUCAAGCCUGUAGUCGUGCUCGGUAGGCAAAUCCGCCGGGCUUAGAUGAGGGGUGAUAACGAGGGUGCUUGCACCUGAAGUGAGUGAUACCCUGCUUCCAGGAAAAGCCACUAAGCUUCAGCUUGUCAUUGACCGUACCGCAAACCGACACUGGUGCGCGAGAUGAGUAUUCUAAGGCGCUUGAGAGAACUCAGGAGAAGGAACUCGGCAAAUUGAUACCGUAACUUUCGGGAGAAGGUAUGCCCCUAUUAGGUGAACUUGAACAAAGGGAGCCGAACGGGGUUGCAAAAAAUCGGUGGCUGCGACUGUUUAAUAAAAACACAGCACUCUGCAAACACGAAAGUGGACGUAUAGGGUGUGACGCCUGCCCGGUGCUGGAAGAUUAAAUGAUGGGGUGCAAGCUCUUGAUUGAAGUCCCAGUAAACGGCGGCCGUAACUAUAACGGUCCUAAGGUAGCGAAAUUCCUUGUCGGGUAAGUUCCGACCUGCACGAAUGGCGUAACGAUGGCCACACUGUCUCCUCCUGAGACUCAGCGAAGUUGAAAUGUUUGUGAUGAUGCAAUCUCCCCCGCGGAAAGACGGAAAGACCCCAUGAACCUUUACUGUAGCUUUGUAUUGGACUUUGAACAGAUCUGUGUAGGAUAGGUGGGAGGCUUUGAAGCGAGGUCGCUAGAUCUCGUGGAGCCAACGUUGAAAUACCACCCUGGUGUGUUUGAGGUUCUAACCUAGGUCCAUUAUCUGGAUCGGGGACAGUGCAUGGUAGGCAGUUUGACUGGGGGCGGUCUCCUCCCAAAGCGUAACGGAGGAGUUCGAAGGUACGCUAGUUACGGUCGGACAUCGUGAUGAUAGUGCAAUGGCAUAAGCGUGCUUAACUGCGAGACUGACAAGUCGAGCAGAUACGAAAGUAGGACAUAGUGAUCCGGUGGUUCUGUAUGGAAGGGCCAUCGCUCAACGGAUAAAAGGUACUCUGGGGAUAACAGGCUGAUACCGCCCAAGAGUUCAUAUCGACGGCGGUGUUUGGCACCUCGAUGUCGGCUCAUCUCAUCCUGGGGCUGUAGCCGGUCCCAAGGGUAUGGCUGUUCGCCAUUUAAAGAGGUACGUGAGCUGGGUUUAAAACGUCGUGAGACAGUUUGGUCCCUAUCUUCCGUGGGCGCUG